rnacentral:rRNA from 1 species
CUGGAAACCGGAGCUAAUACCGGAUAAUAUUUUGAACCGCAUGGUUCAAAAGUGAAAGACGGUCUUGCUGUCACUUAUAGAUGGAUCCGCGCUGCAUUAGCUAGUUGGUAAGGUAACGGCUUACCAAGGCAACGAUGCAUAGCCGACCUGAGAGGGUGAUCGGCCACACUGGAACUGAGACACGGUCCAG